rnacentral:lncRNA from 10 species
CAGAUCGGUUAAAUAAGUUAUGGUACAUUCAGUGAAAUACUACUAUGCAGCCUUUAAAGAGAACAAGGGAGAUCUUUACACAUUCAAAUUAACAAAUUCGAGAGUGUGAAGGACCUUCUACAGCAAAGUGUUAAUCAUGGGUGUCCCUGGGUUGGGGAGGGGACAAAUUUGCUUACAUAUUUUACAAUAAUAUAUUCCAAAUAAAAGGAUUAUUUCCAUAUUUGAAAAAAUAAGACAUCUGCAAGGCACUGACAGGACUUUGGUGACUGAACAUGAGAGCAGGUGAGAUGGAGCAAGGGAGCCGCUGAGGACACCAGGGUCUCUGGCUGGAGCGCCUCCGGGCAUGGCCAGCCAUACAGGAAGAGAGGGGGUGCUGGGGGAGAGCCUGAACUUGGUUUGGGAUGGAGAUGGCGAUAUUGAGGGUCCCUGGGUGCCAUGGUGGGGGCUUUGUGUAGCUGGCAGACAAAAUAAGGACAUUAGGCCCUUUGGAGCACAGGCUACUGAACAAAAAAAAUUUGAUGAGGAAAAACCUCCUAACAUUGCCCAAGCCCCACAGGUCCUGCUGCCAGGGGGGCUUUCUGAAAGAUGAUGGUGUAGCAACUCAAGUGCUGGGUUAAAAGAGCCUGUAGGGGUGAGUCAGGGAUUGGCAGGAAUUGAGCUUCCCACAUCGCUGGCUUCUGCAGCAACUGUGUGCCUAGCAGUGGCUGUCCUUGCCUGUCUUUUAGCUCAGGGGCAGUCACCAAUAUCAGGCCACCUUACUCCUGGUUGUAUUUGCAAUAAAUCUUUUAUUUUCCCCUCCUGUAGCUGUGGCCAGUGUAGGGAGUGGCACUGAUAGAAGAGAUACAGCUGCUGCCACGGAGGCCCAACAUCUGAGUUCAGAAUCUAAAGAAAAAACAUCAGCACAAAAAUCAGGUAACUGCUUCUGUCUACCAAGUUCCUACUCUUACCAGUGGAGCAGUUAAAUCUGGACAGUCACUCCUUGGCACAGGGCCCUUGAGACCUUUUCAUGAAAGACAGCAUGAAAUGUUGGGAAUAGGGAUAGUAAUAAAGAGGUGGAUUCUAGUUUAUGCUCCAUGACUAUUAUGAAAACUUAGGGGACAAGUUUCUGAAUUUCUAUUUCUCUUCUGUGAAGGGGAUGUGGUAAAAACUACCCUGCCUAUAUCACAGCGUUGUUGUGAGCACCCAAUGAGAUAACUAUAAACUUUAUAAACAAUAAAAUGCAAUGCAAAUAUAGUCUUAUUAUGAGAUUGUAGUUCCUGUAAUGAUUAUGGAUGGCUCACGGGCAAAGGCUGGAUUUAUUUAAAAAGUCAGAGAACUUCUUUAGAAUUUUCUGUGGUGGGGAGCUCAAGGAGAGAUGAGUAUUUCCGGCAUGGUGUGGAGUAUCUACUUACUGGAUUAAAAGUAAGGAGAAAAAUACAGAAGAAACAAAAAAGAAAAUAAUUGCCUGAUGGGUAGCCAGGCUGUGGAAGACUUCGCAUUACCCAAAGCAUGGGACUCUUUUUUUCAGCCACUAAUUGGUUAACCCUAAUUGUGGCUGAGCAUUCUUCUGCUCAGCAGUUUCUUUCUUCUUCUUGAAAUCCCAAAUCAACAUGUAGCAUCUAUGGUGUCCACCGGGUGCUCCUGACUGCUAAGAACUUGAAAUGGAAAUAGGAUAAUAUCCCCCUGAACAGGUAGCACUUUCUUUUUCAGGGCACCCUUUUGGAAUCUUGAAAGCAGACUUUACCAUCUCAACUCUGAUGGACCCAGAAGAGAUGAAAGACCAAUUUCUGAGACAGAUCCAGGAAGUCUUAAAGCUUACAUUAGGUCACGAACAAUUUAGACUGAAAUGGGUCAGCUUCGAAGUGAACAAAAAAUAGCACAAUUCUUGGAUAUGCAGUUUCUGUUUCAUGCAAUCUUCUCUGGAUUUUGAGUAAAUUUUAAUUUUUUAAUCCCUAGUAGAACAAGAUUAGGAAGAACUCGACAUGUGCCAAAAAGCACAGACCUACAACUAACACAAAACAAGACUACACAUGAAACCUGC